ensembl:lncRNA
AGCGGAGCGGGCAGAGCGCGGUGUAACGCGACGUGACGGAGGGACUGUAUGGCAGAUACAAACAGGGCUGGGAUGGGAAGUCAUAGAUAAAGGAAGCACGGCAAAAAAAAAAAAAAAAAAAAAGAGGAGGUGCGAGCCAGAAACGGGAGCUGCGAUGGAAAGUAAUAAAUGCACGAGGGAAGCACCUCCGAGGGACAAGAAAAAGCCACGCAGUCUCCCAGGUCCUUCAAAGAAACCUCACACAGGGUCACUGCUGUCACACUGCGGGCAGCCUGGCUGGAAGGACAUCCACAGGAAAGGAGCUGUCACAGACAAAGCCUGCAGACGGAAGAAAAGGUUGAAAUUAGUACUUAAAAUGCUCCGUUUACAUGAAAAGCCAGCUGAAACAGGAGCGCAAAGCCCGGCCCAUGGUGCAGAACAAAGCUCUGCAUCGUUCCAGUGCUUCUAGUGUGCUUUGGGGGGAAGCUGUUCCCAGUUGCAACACACAGCCACGCUUGGGCAGUGCUGCUGUAACCAGAUCCCUCUCUCAUCUGAAGCUUUUCAAGAACACAGAUUGGAGAGAGCGUGACCUGCGUCUCAGAAGGCCAAGGGGACCUCAGUAAAGGAGGUGGCAGCAACCGGUGUCGUCCUGGUCACUGCACGAGGACCUGUGUGCAGCCUGCUGGCCUGUCCUGCUGACAGCAAGCUUGGGAGCAAGCAUCAAAGGUCAACACUUGAUCCUGCACCCCUCCUACUCAAACGGCCAAGAACAGGAGACUCCAUCCAGCUGCUCUCCAUCACCCAUCAUCUCACCCACCAGCACACGCCAGGGCAGAGCCCAGGGCUCCGCAGGGCACUGUUUAAUUGCUCACCCACACGGGUAGCGCUCCAAGUCUUCACGAUGUGUUAACUCUGUCCCUUUGAGUCACUGCAUCAGCUGUACCAGGAUUCUCUGACUCCUUUUCAAGCACUGCUCCCAGCCAGACUCCAUGCUGUUCUCAUCCACACAACGCAGGGGAUGAGAGCUGCUGCAAAAUAGUGCCACUGUGGCCAAUGGCUGAGCAUCAGUUACCUUCUGCAGCACAGCAAACGCAGCUCAGGAGCUCCUGGAAUUUGGUUUAUGCUGAACCCAUUUGUGUAUAUAUAUAUAUAAAAGCACACUUCCGUUUUCAAAAUACGUUGCUACCCAAAAAUAGAUGUUUCUUCAACAGCAGAGCACGGAGCAAUUGCUAAGCCAUGCAAGCAAAACACCAUGUACAGCCAGAGGACUGCAAAAGAACUCACUCUUGCUUACUGCAUAGUAGAAUUUUUUGGAAUUAAUACCUAAUUUUUCACCCACUGUGGAAAAAAAAAUAGGAACAUUACAGCGCCAGCUUCUGCCCUGGUUCCUUUUGCCCCCAAACAUCUCUGCAAUCACAUCCUGAAGUGCUGUACCUGCUAGUUUUUUUUUCCAAACAUGAAGCAUUUCAUCCUCUAGGCAGAGGGCUUCAGUCUUCCAGGCUGUGAAACAGAACAUUUCAGGGGAAUAAGAUGAAAAAAAAGAAAAGCCCCCCAGCCCCACCUGAUUUGACUACUGCAAAGGAUACAAACCUCCUGGGAGUGGAGAGAUCACUGUAUCCUGUAUGUUGCCAUGUUUAACACACAGCUGCAGUGCGUUACCUCUCCAUGAAAAGGCCCACGUGCAAUGCCCAGCAGGAAUGACAGAAAUCACGCUGGAGAAGUCACAGGACAAGGGUUUAAAACAGUGCAACUCCGUGAGUUGAAGGCUGUUCUUCUUCACAUCCCCAAUCACAUCUGAUUGUCAUGCCCAGAGCAAAAUAAAUAGCAAGCCAGCUAUCUUCAAUGCUUUUGAUUCAUCAUGUUGGCACCGAAGUCACUUCACUGUGUUCUAAAUGAAGCAGACUGAGCGCACGCUUGUGCCCUUAUUGCUCUCUCACUUCAGGGAAAGGCAAAGAAGAAAAGUACUUGUGCGUGGAGAUGUAUUUGAAAGGAGAACAGUUUCUUGGCUAGCUUUGGCUUUCAUUUUAUAUCACCAAUAGCACUGCAUAACACAAUGCACGCUUAUGCUUUUUUACCUCUUUGGCAUAAUAGGAAAGCUUAAAAGGCUGCAGUGUCCCCCCGCUGGAAGAGGAGCAGAGGUUUCUAUCAUUCACUUGCUUUUUGCACCAGAAAUUCAGGUUUUGUUUAGCUUGGAAACCUCACAGAUGUCGUUCUGGUAACUCUUCAAUCCAAAGCGUGUGGCGGUAGAAGUCCAACACUCCCAAGGGAGCCCUCAGUUAUCCCAAACUGCCACAGAAAAGUAGUACAAUUCCCACAGGGUACAGUGGCCUGAAAAACAUGAAGGCAUCCCAAACAGUUUGUUGGUCCCCUGUACCUGCAGGCCAGCAGAGGCCACCAAUCAGCACCAGGCAUAUCUCCAAACACAUCCCUAACAAGAGGAUAAAAUGAACGUCCUAUCCAGGCUGGUUUAAUUCAAACACAGAUGAGCCUUUUUAGGAACACAAGCAAUUGGCAGUUUUCACAUACACCACGCACCAGCUUCUCCCAGCUCUCCAUCACACUAUGAAAUCUGGCCUGGACAUCUCAUACUUACCCCUCAGCUAAAUUUUUGCCAGAAAAAGCAUAACGUCACAGCUGUGCUCCAAAUCACUGCAGCAACCAGGCAAUGAAAUCACCACUCAGAAAGUGUUGCUCCAGCUUAGGAGGGCAGGGCCCCUCCAUUGGUCAGCCAGUGGCACUCACGCAACACCAUAGCCAAUAUUCUCAUUGAUGAAGGCUAAUGAGGAGGUGCCAAUACCUGCUCUCCUUGCUCACAAGUGACUGCUUGGACUGUGCACAUUGAAGUCAUGGUGACCUAGGAGAGAUCAGAACCAGCUGCUUUUGAUUACCUUCUGCCACACAACAAAAGAAACUACACCCAGAAAGGAAGCAUACUCCUUCCUUCUGGCAAGUAAGCACAACUUUGAGGAAUUGAGUAAUAAAGCUGUGGCAUCUCGUGGGAGCAAGCUCACAGGAAAAAUAGUUCAAGGGGACCCUGAUCUUCAGCAACACCAUUUAGCACGUUGCAACGCUCCCUCUGACGUCUGUGCAUUACAUUUGCCUGAGCAAAAUGAGAAGUAAUAAACUAUUGCGUGUAGGUCCGUUUGCUGGUAGGGAAAGGGGCCCCACAGUUUUACUCCCUGGAGGCACCAGCUCUCCCCACCCCUUUUGUGUGUAUUUUUUUUUUUUUUAAUGUGCCACACAUCAGCACAAUGCUGACAACUGCAUUGUAUGCUUUUCUGCCUAUGCAGCACUUCAAGAACACACAACUCUGGAAGGUUUUUGAAACGGGAAAGGGGGAGGGAGCUGUCCUUUGCUAUCUCAUUUUAAUUGCACAGCUCGCUCCUCUACAUGACCACAGGGAAGGGAUAAAAAUAAACGGUUAAAACCAGUACUGUUUUUAUCAUCCAAAAGGGUCAGACUAAGUCUUCUCACGAGAUACAGUCAGUUGUGCUUAGAAUAAAAGCUACCACGAGCAAGGAUAAAAAAGCACAGGGUUUCUUCUCUGGCACUGGAACCUCCCCUGUCCUCCUCACUGUUGUUUCGGUCUCCUCCUUUCCACACCUUCCAGUGCAGAG